rnacentral:rRNA from 1 species
CCUACGGGAGGCUGCAGUGAGGAAUAUUGGUCAAUGGUCGGGAGACUGAACCAGCCAAGCCGCGUGAGGGAUGAAGGUACAGAGUAUCGUAAACCUCUUUUGUCAGGGAACAAAGGCGGGGACGUGUCCCCGGAUGAGUGUACCUGAAGAAAAAGCAUCGGCUAACUCCGUCCCAGCAGCCGCGGUAAUACGGAGGAUGCGAGCGUUAUCCGGUUUUAUUGGGGUAAAGGGGUGCGCAGGCGGUCUGUUAAGUCAGCGGUAAAAGCCCGGGGCUCAACCCCGGCCCGCCGUUGAAACUGGCAGUCUCGAGUUGGAGAGAAGUAUGCGGAAUGCGCGGUGUAGCGGUGAAAUGCAUAGAUAUCGCGCAGAACUCCGAUUGCGAAGGCAGCAUGCCGGCUCCACACUGACGCUGAGGCACGAAAGCGUGGGUAUCGAACAGGAUUAGAUACCCGUGUAGUC